GCCGGGGGCUCUGAGGUGGGCGGCCCAGGCCCCCUGACAGACAGCGAUCAAAAAUCCGGAUGACCAAACCGUUUUCGGCGCUCACACGGGUUUUCCUGUUCCACCUUUCUGGCCAGACGCGUCGGUGCCUUGAGGCUCCAAAAGUCCCAAGUGUGGAUUUUGCAGACAUGACUGCAGAGCAGACAUCCGGUCAGCAGAGGGCACACUCGUCACUGUCAACCCCUAUUGCCAGAUUUGGAGGUGACUAUGAAUUCAGAGUCGCCUGUUGCAGGAGCGAGACAAGUAACCAGAACACCAGUCCCAGCCUUCAUUCAGCGGCUAUUCUCAAAACUCCACACUUGCACAAUAUUCCCCAGGGGUUUUGUGUCCCUGUGUUCAUCUGCGCAUCUGUCCCUGUGUUCACCAGAAGCCGCGAGAAGGGCAGAAGCCGGCAGGGAACUCCCCG
rnacentral:lncRNA from 1 species